AAAGUACUCCCUCCGUCUGCAAUUACUUGUCGCAUACAUGGAUGAAAAUGGAUGUAUCUAUAACUAAAAUAUGUCUAGAUACAUCCAUUUUUAUGACAAGUAUUUUCGGAUGGAGGGAGUACUCG
rfam:Triticum aestivum genome assembly, contig: Triticum_aestivum_CS42_TGACv1_scaffold_158054_2DL